rnacentral:lncRNA from 1 species
AGAAGUUUGGAAGUUUGGAUAUUCCAAAGGGAAUGUCACCUGUGAAGUUGUUGGAGUUGACGUGGAAGAUUACCAGGUCCUUGAGAUCUUCAACGAAGUCUGUUGCAACGAGUGGACAGCCAGGUCCGCCGUUAAAGUUGAAGCCAUUGAAAUUGACGCCAACGACUCUAAACUUGUUAUCUUUGGUGCUUCUGUCGCAUACGAAGCCUUUGUAUUUGGAUUUGUCGUAACAGAUGCGGUUGCCCGUCCAGGUUUUGGUGACGCCAAAAGGGUCGUACUUUAUUCUCCUUUUGAACCUUCGGAUUACUUGGAUGGCCAUUUUUAGUUCCUUGGAAAGAGUAAAUGGAGGUGGCGGUGGCGGUGGUGGAGGUGGGGGUGGGGGUGGGGGUGGUGGUGACGGAGGUGGGGGUGGUGGUGGUGGACAGGGAGGAGGGGGCGGUGGCGGCGGGGGUGGACAGGGUGGAGGUGGGGGUGGGGGCGGAGGUGGACAGGGCGGAGGGGGUGGUGGUGGACAGGGAGGAGGUGGUGGAGGUGGGGGUGGCGGCGGAGGUGGACAGGGAGGCGGAGGGGGUGGUGGUGGACAGGGAGGCGGGGGCGGUGGCGGAGGUGGUGGCGGGGAAGGACACUUGGCCUUGGGGGGAUGCAUUGGAGGAUAUGCGGGCUUUGGAGGGGGAGGGGGAGGGGGCUGUGGGCAAUGUUGGCAUUCUCCAUUGUCAGGACGGUAGGCAGGGGAAUAGGGAGGACUGCCAACCCCUAUAACGAUUUCGAGUGUUUCCCUGUUGAUCGGGGUAGUUGCUGGAGUACCAUUACCAACGACUUGAUAAAACCAGCAAGAGUGCAGGAUGACAAAGAAGACAAGAAGAGGAAAUGUGAGUGAGAAAGUGCUCUCUCUCUCCAUAUUCCAACACUUCUGAUGAUUGAACCCGGAAGAAGGCACAACGUAUAUAUGCUAAUGGGGAGGGAAUGGAGGACCCAAUGAUCGGUGAGGUUUAAUGCGGGUGGUUCAGUGAUUUGAUCCAUACUGCCAAUAAAGAGAGAGUUCGUGAGGAUGACGUCCUUCAAUUGUACUAGGCGCGGUUAACAUUUUCUGUUGUUUUGGGCACUAUGAGUGGAGCCUCCUCAUGCAAUAUGUAGAUUCUUUCACAUACAUAAUUUUUUUUUUUUUUUAAAAAAGAGAUUGAAAAGAUAAAUAAAUAUGUUAAAAAAUCGUAAAAUGCCAUUUCUGCAAUUGUGAUCUACUCUCAGAUAGUAAUCGUCUCAGGUAGGCCACCAAAGUGACAUCAGACGUUUCAAAUGUUAAGUUCUCCGCUUUUUCUUUAUUUAAAAGGUAGGCCGUCUUUUAUUCUUUCUAUUUUCUUUUCUGCUUUAAGGUGAAGAGUGUCUUUUUUUUUUUCAAAAGCUUGAUUUUGAUUGUAAACCUGCCCAUCCGUUCCGAAAAUAUUUAAGAUUUACCGGAAAAAAAAUAAAAACUACAACUCAUUAGCUACAGCUAUCUUUACUCCGAUCUACUCUAUAAAUAAGAACAACACUUUCACUUUAAAAAAAAAGAAAAAGAAAAAGAAAAAAGAAAGAAUAAUACAUCGAUGAUGGAUGUCCAAUAACACGACGCACUUAGCUAGCACCUGCAAUGGCUGUGAAUCCGUUCCCUUUCAAACCCAGCAAGUCAGUUGCCCCUUUCACAAAAGGCAAUACCUACACAAACGGCGCAGCAAGUAGGGGAUAGUGAAGGGGAUAGUAACCAGUAGGACAAAACUUCGCAUGAUUGACCUUUCAACGAGGAUCUGUCCUCUUACAUAUUCCUAGGACAAUUGCCCUCCCAAAUCCCAAUGCAAUUCCGGAGGAGCCAUCCCAAUCGUCAAUACAUCAUUCCAAUCUUGUGCAUGUGCACUUCCUCCUUGAUGGCCUACUGUGUCGCAGUUGACAUGCGCAUCCCCAAUCGUCUAUUCUCAACGGCAUAAACAUUUUACACUCAAUUUUGUAUCUGCACUAACAAACUGUUCCCCUAAUAUAUCUUUACAGGCUACUCAGAUGCCAAUGAAAAUUAAAUAUCUUCAAGAGGGAACAAUAGGUUCCACUCUGCCUUUCCCAGAGUUCUAUAACUGCCCUUUUUUGCUGUCUUCUCUGGAAGAGUUCUAUUUUCAUUCCAUCUUUUACUAUUUUAAUGCAAACUUGGGCCACAAAAAAAAGGGUUCAUGAAUCCACCAAGUUAAGGUUUUUAAAUUUUCUGGCACAAUUUCACCACCAAAGUAUUCCUUUAAAUUUCCUAAAGCUUUGCCUUCAACAAUGAUGACCAUCCAAUCUGCAGCCUAUGUCAGAUAGUGAAGCAGCAAAAAGAUAAAAGAGGAAAGUAGAAAACAAGGCAGCUAAACGUGUUGCAUGAAAUUUCAACUGUCAGUGGCACUCGUAUGGUUUCUAACUUGUCCGACACCGGUGCGCACAGUUUUGCUAACACACUAGAUUUUACUGCACUUUUGUCUACAAAGAGAUGUCUAAAUGCUACUGAUAGGAUAGACGAAAACCACUACUCUGCAAAAGGAAGGAAGAUGGAACUUCAUUAUGAUUACAAAGAGCGCUAUGGUAAGAAAACUAAGCAAUCUUUAACCAAAUUCAAUGAAGCCAAGAACAGAAUGACACUGAGGAAGCAUAUAGUGAAACAGUGUUUCACACUGGCAAAUGUCUAAGAAAUGCAAAAGCUAAUACAAUCAACUCAGUACAAGUUACCCUUGGAAGGCACUAUUACCUCACCAACAGCACUGAUCAAGCAAAUAAAUUUCUUCCUACUAAGCAACUCUUCAGGUGAAAGAUUGUAAACAAUUUUAAGCUAAAAUGCUGAUAACCAAACAACAGAGUGAAGUACAUUCAUGAUACUUUAGGACCAUGAUUAACAAAAUUUUCCAGCUCAAAAGCCAAAUAAUGGCAGAAGAAGGAUAAAGUAACUUCUCUUACCUCAUCACAUGUCACAGGAAGAAUCAAGAGGAACACUGAGGUGUUGUAAUCAACUCUCAUGCUGUUAACCUCCUCAUUCAACUACUCGGGCAUUACUUUCACUAGUAGCAAGCUAACAGCUAUUGACUAGCAGUAGAAAGAAUAACAGUGUAACUCAACCUCCUCAGACACCACUUUGGCAGAAUUCUAUACAACAGCAAGCCUCAAAUAUGAAAUCUCUUCCAGGACCAUAAAUCUCAUGUCGCAAAUCCAUUUGCAGAUACCCUCUCCACUCUGCUAUCCUUCACAUAGAGUGGUAUCCUCACACCAAGAUCCCUAAGUCGAUUAACCACGACGUAGAGCAACUCAAAUGUGAGUUUUGAUUGUGCAUUAAGGUGAUCUCUUACAUUUGGAUGUACGCUGAACCAAUCUCCUAGCAUCUUAUGCACAUGGGAACGAAUCAUUCUCCAUGGCACUGGAUAACUCUCACAAAACUUUAAAUAUUCAACUAGUAAAUCCGCCUGGUCCAGCUUUCCACCUACACAGAUAUCAUCACUUCCUGAUACCCAUUCGACAGUACGGUAUCCAGCAAAAAGGGCUGGGUUUUCCAGCAGAGACUCAGCUAAAAGUACCCCCUCAACCCCAGUCUCAUCCAAACAGCUCUGCACAUCUUCCAUGUAUCUUAUAUUCCCAUUAGCCAGAACAGGGAUUCUCAUGACAUCUCUAACAGCCUUGAUGGCAUUCCAAUUGGCACGAAAUUUCUUCCCAUCUUUUUCGUCCCUAGUUCGACCAUGUACUGCCAAAAGAGCACAACCAGCAUCUUCCAACAUCUUGGCAUAAUUGAUUGUGUCCUCAAAAUUCGUGAAAAGUCGUAUUUUGCAGGAGACUGGAACACUAAGGUUGUUUGCUAGUUUUUCUACCAUAGAUUUAACCAAAGAUUGUCCAUAAGGAAAGCUCCAUAAUUCCCUCGCCUAGCGAUAUGCUGCGGACAUCUGCACGGAUGGCAAAUAUACAACGCUUAACUAUGCCUACUUUCAACCAAACUCAACGAAAAGUGAUUGUAAUGAUACAAGCUGACAGCAGGACAACUUCCAGAUGCCAGUUACAUGGAAUUGCAAGGAAAUUAUACUCGAAAGAAUUAGCCACGACAAAAAGUGAGCAAUCAGUAUAGUUAGAGUCAAUAUGGAAAAACUGUUCUAGAAUACAUGUACGAGCGAAUAUGGAGAUAAAUAUGCAGCACUAGGUGCAAUAUCAGCUUAAUGAAAAUGCCCGUUAUGUCAUUCAUUACUGGAGUUCCUCCUUCUACAGUAGUUAGCAAUAGUAGCUAAACAAGGAAGGAAAAACAUGGGUAGAAGGCAUUACCCCAAAUUGAUGUCUACAUAAUCGCAGUAGGGUUCUACUCUCCGCGCAGCCUCCAACAAUAUAUCUGGAUCAUUCGCACAAAAUUGCACAAAUAGCUGACGGUCCUCCUGUCAUCAUUUCUCAGCAAACUUCUCCUUAAUGAAAUUCAAAACUAUACAACUUCACAGACUAAGUAACAAGAAGCAUAAGACAAGUAACUAAAAACAAGACCCGAAAUUACCUUGCAGGUGGUAAACUCUUGAGAGCGGUACUUUUCAGUUUCGGUAAAAAUACGAGAGUGAAGCAUAGGGGUAUAAGCAGCUUGAGCUCCGUACUUGCGGCAAAGCAUGCGGAAGGGGAGCUCGGAGUUGUCGACCACGGGGGCCACUAUGAACUUAGGUUGCCCAAGCUUCUUCCAGUGUGCCCAGGCUCUCUCGAUCCGCGACUCUCUGCUCAGGUACCCGUUUGGAUUUGGGGCCGGGAGGCCGUCCAAAUGGGCUGUCUCUCCUUCUGGUUCUCCUUGUGGUUCGGAACACAGGCGGUCGUCGUCGUCGCCGCCGUCUUGGUUGACGGCGACGUUGCAGUUUGACGAUGAAGAGGAAGUUAGGUUUUGGAUGGCCAUCAAGUUAUACGAUGAAUUGGGCGGCUGUGGGCAAAUACUACGUGUGGCGCAGAGUGGCUUCCUAAUAAAUCUCAUAAGGAGGCGAUGAAGGCUGGGGAGGGUACGCAGCCCAUGACCACCCUGGAAGUUGGUGGGGAAAUUUUUCCUUCAGUUUAUUUGGAGGGAGGAGGCGGGGACCCCGCGGGAUUAUAGCUGUUUAGAUGGGUGAAAAAAAUCGGAUCCGGGGCAGGAAGGCUACGUGUAUUUUGCACGCGCGUAACUCGAUUUACACACAGAUAUAAUUUAUUUUCAAUAACGUGUAACUCAAAAAUAAAAUUUUUUGAAUUCCACACAUAUUGUAAAAAAUGAGGUAUAAAAUAAAAUCUGGACCUUACAAUUUUUUUGAUCAAAUCUUGACCAUGAACUGUCAGGAACGGCCGUAGAACCCUCUUCCAAAAAAAUCAAAUCUUUUCUUCAGACGAGGAUAGGGUUGUUUUGGAGUUGAGGCUCCAAAUUGAGGACGCGGGGCUGGAGCGGUUGUCAGAACAACCGCUCCGGAAGGUGUAACACCAUGUGUACAUGGUGUAACAUCAUCUAUACAAGGUGUAACAAUAGAACAACAGCGAGUAAUAUUAGAACAAUAUUUUUGUGGGUCCCACACGGCGUGAAAAUCGAGUUACAAGACGUGAUUUGAGCCGUACAAAUUUUUGAGAUUUCAUCCAGGCCGUGAACUGUCUGGGACGGUUGUCUCUGGCAACCGUCCAGGCCCCUCGUCCCCAAAUUGAAGUCUGAUGUUGAUGCAUACUAAGUAACUUUUAAGCCGAAUUACGAGGUCAAGACAAUUAAUCCGAGUUACAUAAUAACUCGUAGGCUUGAGCUUACAUAUCAACUAGUAUUUUGAUUGGUGCUAUGCACGGAUUUAUAUGAGAAGGAAGAGAAAUAUGGUCAAAUACAACAUUAUUAUCCCUUUCUCUCAUAUUCUUCCUCUUUGUGCCACUUUUUCCACCUCUAAACCUCCUACUCUCCACUACUCUCCUUUUCACUUUGUGAAUAUAACUUUUUCGCAUCCCUACAACCUUUUGUAAUUCUUUGAAAUCCUUCCCAAUUUUUUUGUAUUCCUACAACCCUUUCUAUUUUUAUCAAAUCCUAUUUUCCCUUUGCUCUAUCUCGCUGCCGCCCAAUUAUCCUAUCUCGUAUCUAAUUUUACAACCCACUUGUCUCCUAUUCUACUAUUAUUUUUAUCUAUUUAUAAAUGUAAAUGGUAACAUAUUUAUUUGGCUCGCCUACUAACAAAUGAGUUUGCGUGUGUAAUUUAAUUGGAUUGAAAUUGGUGACCAAAUUAACCCAUUAAUUAGUGGGUAUGAAAUUGACAGAUUUGGAUCACUUAUUUUGACUUAAUUAAAUUAGAUGUAGAUUCAAACUCAAUCAUUAGUGGGUAAAUCUAAAUUACUCUAAUAAUUAUAUUCUAAUUUUUGCAAAGAUGUAUUCAUCUUUUUUCCUCCUCUUUAAUUUCUAUUAUUUUAUUUUUUAAAAUUUAUCCUACUUCCUUAAUUUCUUUCAUAAAAGUUUAAUAAAUUUCGCGAAUAUUAAUUGAUUGUUUGCAUUAAUAUCUAAAUUAUUUUUAGAUUGUCGUAUAGUGAUAAAAUUUGAAACUCACUGUGAUGAUCAUUUUAGGCUCCUUUAAGCAAAUUUUUAUGUUUUUUCCUCUUUCUUUAGAUAAAAAUUGAUUUAUUAACUUGAUAUGUUGAUAUGAUUUACUAUUUUGUUGCUAUACAAAAUAUGGAUGAAAAAGUAAAUAAAAUUUGGUUGUGGGCUGUGAAUGGAUGAUUGGAUAAUCCAAACCCAUAUAAAUCUAUAUUCAUUUAUGAUUCAUCUAUUUUGAACCAUUAACUAAAUAGGAAUAUAUAGAUUAACCUAAUUAUAACUUACCCAGACUCAUAUGAAUCAUCAAAUUUGAUAACUGUCCCCUAAUCUUUACCUUCGCUAACCCUACAGUUCUAUCUUUUUAAUGCUUUCACUAUUUAGAAUUCAUUAGCUCACUUUUUAAGUGUUUUUGGAUAUAUAAAAAGUUAGAAUUAUUUUUCCAAGUUGCUGCCUCAUUUUUAAGUGUUUUUAAUCAAAUAAAAAGCUAGAAUUGCAAUCAUCGAGAAAAAGUAAACUUUCGGAUGUAAAAUUGGUGAAAUACAACCUUUUUAUCAAAAUUUUGCUAAAAUACCACCAAAAGCAACCUUAUAAAUACACCUUUAUUAAUUUAAAAUUCAUACAUAAAUUUUUCUUUACAUGCACUUUUUGGUAUAUAUGUGCUAAAUGAAAAGUCAUAUAGAUGCUUGCACGAUAUUAAUAUUGAAAUUAUUCUAAGUGCAAAUAAAAUGUCAUAAUUGUUAUUUACAUAAUCCAAUUUAAUGUUAGAGUAUAAUUUCAAUAUUCAAAUUUUAAAACUUUAAAAAACAAACCUACUGAAUAAAAUCCAACAUAAAAAAUAUAAAAUUAUAAAAAGUAAACCUAAAAAGUGCCCUCGGCUUGUUGAAUACAAAAAAAAAAGUUUAAGACCACAAGAAAAUUGAUUUGGUGAUUGAAACAUAAAUUAUUAAAAAAUAAGAGUAAUCGAGUAUAUCAUUAGAAUAUUUUGACAAAUGAUUAUUGUACCCAAAAGGAAAGCGACAAAGAAAUAAUUGGAUGAAUAACUCAAAAAUAGGACUAAUCACAUUAUCUCAAGGAUUUGGCUAGAUAAAUUAAUCCUCUUUAAUGAAGGAAUAAAAAGGGCUAAAGUGAUGAGGAUAUAAUAGGGUGAAUAAUUUUAAAAUGAAACUAAUCAAUUAUCCCUGAGAAAUUUGGCUUGACAAAUGUAUUUUAUUUAAUUAAGAAGUAAAAACGAAUAAAAAAAUAAAUAACAAAUGAUAAACAGUUUAUGAAGGAGAUAGUUGGAAAGUUUUAAAUUUUAAAUUUAACUAGUGAUAGAAUUAGUUAUAACCCACUAUUUUAAAGUUUUUAAUUAGAUUUUAUGUCUAAAAAUAUUCCAAAAUUCUAGAAAAAAUAAUGAGAAAAUUAGAAGCCAUUGAGAGGGUCUCUGCUAAAAACCCUCUCUGCAAUACAUAUAAACAAGCCUAGUACCUUGGACAAACGAAACAAAGGCAAAUUAACAAAUAUCUAACAUACAUCCUAUAGCAUAUGAAUGUUGUCCAAUUCGGUGGAAACAUCUAACAUGUUUCUAUAUGAAAACUUAUGAUGAAAAUACUAUUUUAAAUCCUAUCUCUCCAUACAAAACAAAUAGAAAAUAAAAUCAAAACGCACAAAAUUCAAGAUAUGUUACUAAAUUCUUACAAUUGAAAAUGAACAUGUCUUUUUAAAAAAGAAAAAUAUGUGUCGAAGGAAGAUUUACCUGAUAAUCAAGAGGAGUGGAAAACCAAAAUCGAUACUUUAAUGUGCCAACCGCUUGCACUGGAAAAUACCUAACCAUAUAAAGAGUAUGAGAACCCGAAAAAUUUUCUUAUUUUUAUCGAAUAAUAUUGGCUUAUUUAAAUAUUUAUCCACAUGUUCCCUCCAAAUAAUUUAUUUCAACCCUUUUUGAACCAUUUACAUGGAACUAUGACUUGCAAUAAUAAAUUUAUCCACCUGUUCCGUUAAUAAAUUUAAUUUUCGAAAACUCGUUUAGUGAGAAUAGUGAAUACACGUUUGGAAAUAGUAAUGAGUUUGAAAAUUUGGAAACUUAUAUAUAUUGGUCUUAAAAUAAGUAUUUUUAUGUUUAAGUGCUCAAGUGAUAGUUAGUUGUACUAUCGUUAUAAGAACUUCUUAGAAAUUUAACUCUAUCACGCAUAAAUCGAAAAUACGUGUUUUUACGCGCGCGAUCAAUUGAAGGACUUAAGACCUUUAUUUUGAGACUAUUAAGAGUGAAUAAUGAUAGUAUGAAUGGAAGUGCAAUAGAGAUUUAUUGCACUAGUGAAACAAACCCGAGAGGAAUCAAGCAUGAGACGCACGCGUACGUGCACUAUUCCUAGUUGACUUUUAAAGGAAUUUUUGGCCACAAAUUUUAAAGCUUCUCACGGAAGCUUACCAUCAGCACCAUCUCUUCUUUUCCUUCUCCAAGCAGCCGGCCACACCAAUGGAAGAAAGAGCUAACCUUCUUCAUCAUUUCACUUCACUUUACUCCACCAAAUCACUUCAAAUUUACACUAAACUUUGCUAAACACUUGGAGAGCAACUCAAGUUGGAAAAAGGACUUCAUUUUCACGGUUCUUGUGAGCUUUAAGAGGACCGAAAUUUCUGUCUAAGUCAUCAAUUAAGGUAAUCAAUAAUCAAUCUUGAAAUUCUUGGUUUAUGGAAGUAAUAUAGCACUUAUAAGUUCAUAUCUUCUUGUGGGUAGCUUUAUUUAUGUUGAAAAGUUCUUGUGUGGGCUCUAUGAACUCCCACUAUGAUUUGAUGGACUGAUUUGUGGUGUUUUGAUGUUAUUAAUGUUGGUUUAGUGCUUAAAUUAGUAGAAAUGAGUGAUAUUAUGGAUGAAAGUUCAAAGGGAGUGAAGAUGAAAAACUUUCUGUUUCUGCCCCUGUGAAUGUCCAUGACCCUUAGAGCAAAAUUUUGUAGUUCUAUUGACUUGUUUAUGAUAUAUACAUGUUGUGUGGGUGGUGUAGAAAGUUUCAUCAAAAAAUUUCAUGAUUUGGUUGGCCAAAUGAUGUGUUUUCGGAAGUCAGUAAAAACUGGAAAUUUUCCCGUAACUGCUCUGGCAGUGUUUUUGUUUUGGUUAUAACUUUUUACUUCGAUAUCAAAAUCGAGUGCCGUUUGCUGCACUGGAAACUAGACAUUCCCAGAUUUCCAACGGUAUAAAAUUCACGUCCUGAUUCCUCCUGAGUAGUCUAUACCAAUCGUUUGAACAUGACUAUCCUGUUUCCCUAGUUCACUGGAAGCUCUGUUUUGAGCAGCAAUUUGAUGCUCAAGUAUGAGCUAGUUGUGGGCAGAUUUUGACAACGAUUUCUUCUAAAAAACUGUAGCUUUAUGAAUCUAGUUUUCAACGCUACCAACCACACUCAAUUCCAAGUUGAAUUGAGUGAGUUAUGGCCGUAUUUCGAAACUGACUCAAUGAUUUGAAAUCCUCUUUUGGCUAGUAAAUGUCUAAAUCUUGAUUGGGACUUGUUGUCUGAAAAUUCUUGGUGUUAAUCAUCUACCAAAUGUAUCUUGGAUGUUUCUUAGACAUUGUCUAUGCAAAUAGACCAUGUUUGAGAUACUUGGUUGGUCAAACGUUUUGAAAACGGAAAAAGGAACAACCAAGACAGAUUUGCCUUGGAACUUUCGUGAUUUGGUUAACCAACUUUGCGUACGUAUUUUUCCAUGAAAUUUGACAGAGGCAUAGCCCUUAUAUGGUAGGGUGGUACUGCCAAAUUUGGUGCCAUUCCGAAUCCAUUUCAAUGCUUAAACAAAGUCCCAAAGUUUAUAACUUAAAUCUGAAAAAUUUGCCUAACCGUCUCAAUUUUUCAGCAACUUUGAGCUACUAUAACUUGGUCCUCAAAACUUUGAUUCUUGUUCCGCUCAUUUUUUUUUAAACUUUGAUUGCAACUCUAAUUGAGUUUCAAAUUUGAGGGGUUAUUUCAAAUUCUGUGAAUUUUUCCGAAUUUUCAAAGUUGGUCAAAAAUCAACCCCGAAACUGUCUUGCAAGCCUAAAACAGAAAUUUUGGGCCAAAUUUCGAAUGCCUUCCAUUUGGAAUCAUGGAAAAGUGUAUUUUAGGAACUUUUAGCACUUCGAAAAAAGUUUCCAACGGUACCAAGUUUUUCAAUUUUGGAUUUGUAAUGAGUGAGAUACGAUUUUUCAAAGAUCUCAUAUCAAAACUGAAAUUUUCGAAACUUAAGGAAAUGGAGUUUUUCGAAUUCUCCUUUUUCCCUCGAUAUCACUUGAACGUUUUACACUUGAUUUCAAAGACGAAAACUCGAUUUUUCUUGUGGUUUAAAAACCCCACUUUCGUGUCUUGAUUCGCGAGUAAUUUAGGUUCGCUUUCGUGAGAUUUUUUCUUGGAUUGUACAAGCGUACAAUCAUUCGUGAUAAUUAGGGUAUAUAAAUGAUAGUUCACUAUUAAUUGCUCAAGCUCGCACAAGGACCUUCAAGAGAAUUCCACGGUGGACACCUGAAUAUGAAGUGACAUUUCUUCUUUGUUUAUUUGGUGAGUGUCAAGUAUGUGUUAAAUGCUUAUAUGAUUGAGAUAUUAGUUGUACAAGUGUUAUACAUGACACGUAAACUUACCGAGUCGAGUGUGUACUUUAUCGCACUCGUUCUCAUUUGAAAUAAAUGACUCAUGCUUGACCUGACUUAACUUGCUUGACUUGACGUGACUUGCUUGACUUGACGUGACUUGCUUGAUCUGACUUGACUUGCUUGACCUGACCUGACUUGUCUUGACCUGACCUGACUUGCUUGACCUGACAUAACUUGACUUGAAAAAUAUGCUAUGGCUGCAUAAGUCGAUUGGAGCGAUAUCUCAUCAACCUCUGAACGAUAGCAAGUACCAUACCGAUUUGGUGGGAGGUACCUCUCGAAUCGUCUCAGACCUAUUAACUGAACGAUUGUAAGUACCACACCAAUUCGGGUGAGAGAUAUCCCUCGAAUCGUCUCAGUACCCUAGACCUCUGAACGAUAGCAAGUACCACAUCGAUCCGGGUGGGAGGUACCUCUCGAAUCGUCUCAGAACUCUAAAGCAUUCUAAGUCGAUUGGAGCGAUGUCUCAUCGACCUCUGGACGAUAGUAAGUACCAUAACGAUCCGGGUGGGAGGUACCGCUCGAAUCGUUUCAAAACUAUAAACUGAACGAUAGUAAAUACCACACCGAUUUGGAUGGGAGGUACCUCUCGAGUCAUCACAGAAACAUACAUGGAAUACGUGAAGGGCUACGAACUCAAUUACCUACCCGGGGGACGGGGUGUCGUCACGAGAAGGUAUUAAAAUUGAAUUUGGGCAAGGUAAGAAAUCAUUAGUUCCAGAGAGUUUCUGCAUCCUACUCAAGGGUGUUUAUUAUAAAUUAUGAAAUUUCUUGAAUGUUAUAGUUUUCACUAUUGUGUAAGUGCUAUUAUUAUUGAAUUACUUGUCUUGCAUAUUUUCUUGGCCUCACGAGCAUCCGCUCACCCCGUUAGACUUGCUUUCUUUAACAGGAGCUGAAAUGGAAGGAAUUAUGGAAAGGUCGACUUGAUGGCCUUUUUAUUAGAAUUUUGAAUGUAUUCAUUUAGUCAACUUUUGAAAACUGUAUAUUUUGGGAUUGUAAGAUAUUUUGGUAACUUAUGAUGUAAGACUUGAUCGAUUAUUAAGAAAUUGACCUUCCUUUAUAUUUUCGACUUUUAGUACUGAUUGGUUAUUUUUAAAUUUGAAUUGAAUUUGUACCGAGUUCUGGCGAGAGUUGGACAGGCGUCCCGCAGAUACCCUUGGGUUCGCCCUUGGGAGAAAUAGGAGCGUCACAAAUAGGCUAUAUAUAGGCAUAAGAAUUGAUAAGAAUAUUAAAAAUAGUUUUAUGUUAAUUUAAGUUGCUUAAAGUACAGAACUUUAGAUAGAAAAUAAGAAUUGAUAAGGAUAUAAAGAGAUAUUGAUAAGAAUAUAAAAAGAUGAUAAUAAAAAAUAGUUUUACUAAAGACGUGCAUGCUAAAAAAAUUAUAUGAGUCAUACCUUGUUGUUAGACCUAGAAGUUCACAAAUCAAAAGAGGAGCAAGCGGCCGCAAAUAUAUGAUUAUGAUAGAAUGAUAAUCAGCCGCGAAUAUAGGAUAGAAUGCUAAGGACGGUUUUAUAAGUCAAACAUGGAUGAUAAGGAUGAUUUUAUAUUUGAAAUUUGAUUUAGAUCGAUAUUGAUAAUUGAUUUCGUGCUUAUGAAAAGAUAGAGAUAAACUCCAUAUAGAGCAUAGGUUAUUUUUAAAAAAAAAGGUGAAAAUCAUGGAAUAAAUGAACAAAGGCAAAAGAAGAGAGAGAUGGAAGAGCGUAGAUUAUUUUAUAGAGCACAUUAAAACCACUUGCCCUGUCGUUAAGUCAUGUAGGAAAGAGAAAGCAUGAAACGAUAAAAAUGAAAAUAUGAUUUUAUUAUAUAUAUAUAUGACUAGUAUGAAUACCCGUACUACGCACGAUGUUGACAUUAUUGAAAAUAAAAUGAUGAAUAAAAAAAGGUUAAAAAAUUGUACCAACACAAUUAAAAUGUAAUAUCGGUCUAACAAUAGUUUAAGAUAUGAUAGAAUAUGUAUAUCAUUCAAGAACUGUUUUUUUGGGAAGAUAGAUUUUGAAAAAAUAAUAGAAAUUUAUAUUAGAAAAUGAAUAAUAUAUGAAUAAAAAUGAAUGUAAUUGAAUGUUGUUAAAAUGAAACACUUCCAAAUAUUAUGCAUUUGAUUUGAUAAUUUUGCAUGAAGAUGCGAACACUUUUCACACCAAUCAACUUUUAGUACGAAAGUCAAAAUUGGUGAUUUAAUUAAUUCUGUUGAAUUUUGUGGAGUGCGUACUACAAAUAAAAAUGCACGAUCUUUGCCUGAAUUGAUUCGUUGGUUGAACAACCUUUCACUAUUUUUCUGAGAAAUAAGCAUGUACGAAAUUCAAAAUUAGUGUAUAUUUUUAUAUACUUUAUAAAUAGCAUUAUAAAAAAGCACUAUAUAUCAAGAAAUUCUACCUUUAUUUGUAAUUCUCUGAGAUAAGAAAUAUCACAACCAAAUACGAAUCGUGCAUGUCUAUCUUGUAGAUUAAGAAAGUUCUCUUAAUUAGAGUGAGCACGCAAGAAAGUUGAAUGAGAAUGCUAUGUUUUGGAGGACUUUUAAUUGAAGUGAAAUUCUUAAAUUGGAGAAUUCUUAAUUAGAGUGGGAAAAUGGGGGAAAUGUAAGGAAAACGUGAACGUGAUUAUAGGAUUUUUAGAAGCGGUUAUAAGAUUAGUUAAAAGAUAAACAUUUCUUAAAUUGGAGGACUCUUAUUUGGAGUGGGAGACGUGGGAAAAAUGUGAGUAUAAUUAUAGGUUUUGUAAUAUACUCAAAUCACCGAUGAGAUAAAGUUUGCCUAAAUAAACUUUACAGUAUCCUAAUUCUUUGCAAAAAAAAAAAGCGCUAAAUAGUUAUAAUUGGCAUUGCAAUUUACGGCAACGUGCCAGUGGCAUCUAGUCCUAAUUUUUUUUUGGAUCAAAAUCAAGUCCUAAUUGAUUCUGCUGUUUCUCGAUCAUGUUGUAUGCUUCCAAAUUCUACUUAGCGUGUAAUAAUUGAUAAUGGGUUAUUCUAUUUUUUCAUGGUAUUGGACAGGUGAAAAUCACACCUGAAGUGUGAUAAAUUUACUAUAAACUUCUAAUAUUAUCUCCCCUAAUUUUUGUGUACUUUUUAAAAAUUUUAAACUUUUGUCAACAAUAGGCUAGUCACGCAAAUAAAAAAAAGUGACUGGUCACACAUCUUAGUCUUUGCCCUAAAGAACUCAAUCUAGCAAAUUUCUUAGAACAAUGGUGAAAAAAAUCAUAUUGUUUCUUUUUUUUUUUGGAUCUGAAACAGCCCUAUUCAUUUUUUAAAAAAUAAAUAAAUUGGCCAUCUUACGUUCAUUAAGAAAGGAAAAAAAUUUUUGUCACUACACAUGGAUGUCCGGCCAUCCUAAAAGGAAAAAAAACAAUUGUUCCGUUCUUGCAAUUUUUUUAGAGUUAAAUAUAGUAAACCCCUUAACUUUACAUUUAGUUGCACUUUACCCCUUCAACUUUACAUUUAGUUGCAUAUUUGUGAUUUUUUUGAAACGUGAUUGUAAUUUGCAACGCUCAUUUGUAGGCGUGGUUAUAGGAUCAGUUUAGUGAUAAAUAUUUUUUAAUUAUAAAAAUGUAAAAUUGUAUUAAAAUAGCAUACGAAUGAGCAUUUGUCUUUAAUUAAGAAGUAAAAAGGAUUUAAAGUAUAAAUAACAAACUAUAAAUGGUUUAUGAAGUAGAUAGUGAGAAAGCUUUAAAUUUUAAAUUUGACUGGUGAUAGGGUUGGUUAUAACCCACUACUUUUUAUGUAUUAAAAUAAAUACAAAAAUCUAGAAAAAAGAAUAAGAAGUUUGAAAGUCAUUGAGAGGCUCUUUCCUAAAAACCCACUCUGCAAUUGUAUCUAUAUAAAUUUGAGAAGGGAUUUUUUACAACGAGCCUCCACGUAUCUUCCUACUACCAAUUCCAUUUUUCUAGCAUUUCAUAUUUAAUUUAAUUUAUAAAAUAUAUUUCUCUCAACUUCCACAUCUACUAUUCACAUUUGAAAUUGUUGGUUACUUUUUAAAAUCAUUUCAUUUCAAAUUGUUAGUUAAUGUGCAUGUUAUCCUAUUUGAACUUCAACCCAUCACGUUUCCGAUUGCCUUGCGUUAUUUAUGAUUCUACAAAAAUUAAAACUUCUAUAAGACCAUAAGAAGAGAUAAUAAAUAUAACACAAUUUCAUGCUUUCUUAUUAAUUUAAAUAAGUAAAAUUAUUUACACUCCAUUUCUUAGUUAAAAUUAUUUACACUCCACUUCAAUAAUCAUUUUGAUCAUAUAAUUUUUAUUAAUUAGACUAUAUGAUAAAACAAAUGGUGGAAUUGUAAAUAAUAAAAAAUGGAGUGCAAAUAACAUUUUCUUAGGUAAGAAGUGGCUUCCAUACCUUUCUAAUUUAAAAAAGUAGUAACUCCGCUUAUAUAGAAAUUUGGUUUGAAAUUUAUUAGUGGGAGGGUAAAUAAAAAGAAAACAUUGCCAAAUUUAGUAACAAUAAAAAAGUAAAUGAUAAUAUUUUAUCUUUUAACUUAGUAAUUCUAAGUAAAAGGGCAAAAUUAAAUAGAAAACAAAAAGGAAAUAAUGUCGUGGAUUUAAAAAAUCAAGAAUGAUACCAUUCAUGAAAUUCAAACUAUGAAAUUACUAAAUAAAAAACAAAGUACUACUAGCCUUUUAACAUGAAAUUUUUUAUUGAAAUAUUCAUUUUUGAUAAAAAAAAAUAAUGAUAAUAACAACGCCAAUUCUACCAAAUUUUUUUUAAAAAGUAACAUUAUAGCUUAAGAGAAAUAUAUAGAACAUUCAACCCGUUUGGAUUAGCUGUUUUUGAGGUUGUUUUUCAAAAACAGCACUGUAGCAUUUCGUUUUUCAAAUACAAAUCCGCUUGGAUUAGUUAUUUUUGGGGUUGUUUUUCUAAAACUAUAUGAAAAACUUUUACUGUAGAUUUUUUUGAAUUAUUUUUGAGGUAUUUUUAAAACAUAUUUUUGAGUAUUUUUAUAAUUUUUUAUUUUUUUAUUUUUAUAUUUAUAUACAUUUAUGCAUUUAUAAUACAUUUAUAAAUAUUUAUAAAUAAAUAUAUUUAUAUAAAAAUAUAUAAAUGCAUUAUAUUAUAUAUAAUACAUAAUAUAAAUAUAUUUAUAAAUGUAUAAAUUAUAAAUGAAUAUUAUAUAAAUGUUUAUUAUAAUUUAAAAUUUAAAAUUUUUAUAUUUUUAUAUUUUUAUACAUUUAUGCAUUUAUAAUAUAUUUAUAAAUAAAUAUAUUUAUAUAUUUAAAUAAAUAUAUACAUAAUAUAAAUAUAUUUAUAAAUGUAUAACUGUAUAUUAUUAUAAAUGUAUAAAUUAUAAAUAAAUAUCAUAUAAAUGUAUAAUUAAUAAUUAAUAAUUUUUAUAUUUUUAUAUUUAUAUACAUUUAUGCAUUUAUAAUACAUUUAUAAAUGAAUAUAUUUAUAUAAAAAUGUAUAAAUGUAUUAUAUUAUAUGUAAUAGAUAAUUUAAAUAUAUUAAUAAAUGUAUAAAUGUAUAUUAUUAUAAAUGUGUAUAAAUUAUAAAUUAAUAUUAUAUAAAUGUAUAAAUUAAUAUAUUAUAAAUAUAUAUUAAUAUUAUGUAUAAAUGUAUGAAUAUAAUUAAUAUAAAUAUAUAAAUGUGUUAAUAUUAUGUAUAAAUAUAUAAUUAAUAUUAUGUAUAUUAAUAUAAAUGUAUAAAUGUAUUAUAUUAUAUAUAAUACAUAAUAUAAUGUAUUUUAUAAAUAUACAUAUAUAUAUUAUGUAUAAAUGUAUAAUAUAUAUAAUAUAUUAUGUAUAUAUUAAAUAUAUAAUAUAUAAUAUAUAAUAUACAAUAUUUAUAUAAAUGUAUAAUUACAUAUUUAUAUUAUAUAUAAUUUAUAUAAUAUAUGAUAUUUAUAUAAAUAUAUUAUAAAUGUAUACAAAUAUAUUUUAUAUAAAAUAUUAUAUUUAUAAAAUGUAUAAAUUAAUAUAUAAAUAUAUAAAUAUAUAAUAUAAAUUAAUAUUAAUAUAAUUUAUAUAUAAUAUACAUAAUUGAAAUAUACAUAUUAUAUAUAUUAAUAUCUAUUAUAAAACAAAAUUGCAUAAAUAUAUUUAUAAAUUUAUAUAUAUAAAUAAAUGUAUUUAUAUAAAUAUAUAAUAUUUAUUUCAAAUUAUAUAUUAUAUAAUAUUAUACAUAAUUGGAAUAAAUAUAUUUAAAUUAAUAUAAUAUAUAUAUCCUAUAUUUAAUUGAAAUAAACAUAUUAAAUAUGUAUUUGGAGUUGUUUUUGAUAUAUUGUUUGGAUAUGUGUUUUUGAAAUUGUUUUUGAAAUACACAUUUACUGUAGCAUUUGGAAUGUGAAAAACAGUUUUUCAAAAACAGCCCCAAAAACAAGAAUCCAAACGGACCCGUACGUAAUUUGUAUAUAUCUGGCCCAAAUUUGACAUUAGAUUUGAAUAAGAGUGCAAAAUCCAAACACUAAGGAUAAGUUUUGGUAUCACUAAGGAUACAUAUUUUAUGUAAAUAUGUAUUUGUUAUGUUAAAUAUAUAUAUAUAUAUUGAUUGUAAUACUUGAGAAUAUUAUAGAUAUUAUCAGUUUUUCAUUUUCAUUUUUAGAUACUAAUAAUUGCAACUAUUGCAAUUAAUUUUUAAUUUUAUAUUUUCAUUAUGAUAGGUAAAGUUAAAUAUAUUGGGUCACAGGGAUAUGAAUUUAGAGGUUAGGUAAAGGGGGAAUAGGGAGGGAAGAAAAUGGUGAGAAGUUGAAAAAUAGCAGGAAAGAUUGAAGAAGAAAUAUGGGUUACAAGGAUGGGCGGAAAAGGGAGAGAAGAAAAAAGGGGAUUGCAGGGAUAUGACAGAAAUGACAAAAAAUAAUAAUAAUAGAGAGAGUGACACCAUGAUAGAAGAUAUGAAAGUCAUAUGAGGCAUUUGAUGACUAAUCUAAAUGCGGUCAACAAUUUUAGGGGCACAAGAUAUGAGAAAGAUUUUUUUCUAAAAAUGGAAGAAAAUAAAUUGGUUAUAAUUUAUUUUUUUAUAUUAUAAGUUUUGAUAUAUGGGUAUAACAUAAUAUGUUUUGUCGGAUAUUAAGAAAUUGACCUUUUUCUAUAAAACUUUUCUUACCUUACCAUCCAACCCAACCAUAUCCUUAAAUGCGUUAAUAAUUCUUUUAUCAUGUAAAUCAUUAUAGAUUAUUUUUUUUUUCAAAUUAUUAAGCAUACACUUCUUUAAAAUUUUGAGUCUGCUGUGGGAUAUAUAAAGUAAUUUCCCACUAAAAAAUACAACUAGUGAUUAAACCGAUUCAGUAAUUCCCAAGAAAGAUCGUCGAAACAAUCUCCUUAGACAGAAUUACUUGGAAUGGUAAUUCUGUCUAAGGAGAUUAUUUCGACGAUCUUUCCUGGGAAUUACUAAAUCGAUUUAAUCACUAGUUGUAUUUUUGAGUGGAAAAUUACCCGGUUUCCCCAACAGGAUAUCACACAUAAUAUUAUAUAUACAUUAUUAGUAUAUAAAAUAUUUACUCUAUCAAUUAAAAGGAGCUCGAGAACCCAUCACAAUUUACUCUCUCUCUCUCUCUCUCAUCCAAAAACACAGGCACAACAUUCUAGUAUUCACAUACUUGGUAAGCUUGUUAUUUUUAUGGAAGCAUGAGUACUGCCUGCACAUGGUAACAAGUAUCUUUCCUAGUGUGAAUGAUACGUUGUUACCUUCUGUAGCCAAGUCAUCCGCCGAAUUUCAAAAAAUUGAUGGAGGAGUAUGUCAACUUUUGCACAGGUGCAUUUUGAGUGAAAUUAUAUACCAUUAGCUGGGUUAUUGCUUUAUCUCUGACUCCAGUCCACUGAAUGUGACCUGGAUGCUAAACUUCGACAGAGCUGUCUAGAAAAAUUAUGCGGGGUAUAGCUCUGGCAUUGGGUGGAUCACCAGUUGAAUUUGAAGGGACAAUAGCCGGUGAUCCAUUUUGGGUGCUGCGUAUAAUUGGCUAUCCUGGUGUCUCCCCUGCAAAUGGCCAAGACAUGCCAAAAAAUGAUAUUGGAUGGUGAGAUUGCUGAAGAUGGAUUUCAUCUUCUUUUAUUUCACUUCUAGCACUUGAUUGAUAUGAUUUUGUGCUUGUUUAUGUCUUUUAUCCAAAUGAACGCAGUGGAGCUCAUACGGAGUUUGGUGUAAGCAUGAGGUGUUCUUAUUUAUACGUGACGAUGACCUCUUGUUCUAUACCAGGUCUGGUGACGUUAGUCAAUCAAGAUGAUGGUAUUACUGCUCUUCAGGUAUCGCCCUCCUGUCUACUUUCUUCUUUAUUUGCCUUCAUUUUUUAGCAUUAGUGUGUAUCCUGAAGUUCUUCGUGUUAAACUUGGGUCUGUUUCAUUAGUUUCUGCUUGAAAUAUGCAUGUUUCUCUGUGUUCCAUUGACACCACUCUGCACUCUUAAAACUUUCAUUAGUUUCUGCUUGAAAUAUACAUGUUUCUCUGGUUUUUCAUUGUCACUACUCUGCACUCUUAAACUAGUCCCUUUGUAGGUAAAAAACCUUUCUGGAGAGUGGAUAUCAGGACCACCCAUUCCUGGGACAUUUGUUCGCAAUAUCAGUGACAUGCUGAAGGUAUGCAUCUCAAUAAUUGAUUCUCCAGUGGUUUUCAUGCUGUCAUCCGAUAACUGUUCUUAAUAUUUGGGAAUCUUCAGAUUCUAUCCAAUGGCCUUUAUGAAUCAACAUUGCAUCGGGUGACUAACAACUCUCCCAUUUAUCGGGUCUGCGUGGCCUACUUUUAUGAGGUAAUCCUCUCUCUUAAUUUUCCUUUUUUAUUUUGAUUCAGCUUCUUAAUCAAUCUCCUUGGUUUUUUUCACAUGAAUAGCCAAAUUAUGAUGCUGUAAUAGAGCCAUUGGAUGUAAGCGUAAAACAAACUGGUGGAACCACGAGGUUUGAAGGUGCUGUUUACGGUAAACACUUGGUCAGUAAAGUCCUGACAAAUUUCAUAUACUGAGGAAUAAAUAUAUCUCCCCAUUUUGCCUGUUUCGACUGAAUCUCUCACAUUCACGAAUUUUGGGGAUUUCAUCCGUUAGCCGUUGAAAGGAUGUACAAUAAUAUCUUGUGUUUAUUGGAUUAAGUUGUCGGUUGAUUUAAGAUGACAUGACCUCAUCAAGUUCUCGGAGUUUUUGGAACUCUGUACCUAGCUGAUCCCCGUUUCUUUCAUUUGGUUUUGCCUUGAAUUGUGCAAUUAUGUUGGCGUAUCAGUAUUCAACUAUUCAUAAAGCACCCUCAACUUUGGAACAUAAAUAUAAGCUGGUUGGCUUAGGCUUUAACUACGUAUUAAUGACAGCGAUGGUUUACUGUAUACACUUAUAAAAUACUCCCUCCGUCCCACUUUGACAGUUUUGAUUCUUUUUUUACACAAUUUAAGAAAAAGUAGUUAAUUUUAUUGAAACAAUCAAUUUAGGUGGCUAUUUUUCUAAAAUACACUCACAUUAAUUAGAGUACAACUUUAUGAGAACUUGAAUUGAUAGUAAAAAAAGAAUAAACUCUCAUUAAAUGGGGUAGGUUUAUAGUAACAACAACUUACAUUGAAUAAGGGUAUUUUAAGAAAAUUAAAAUACAAUUACAUUCUUCAAUUGGAAAGUGGACUAUAAUUUGGGACAGACGAAAAAGGAAAACAGGACUAUCAAAGUGGGACGGAGGGAGUAUUUCGCGGACAGAGGAAGAUUUUCUCCUCCAGCUUCUGACAACAAAAUACAUACAUAGACUUAAUAUUACGGCGUAAUGAUGGGGUAGGCACUUAGGCGGCUGGCUGCCGACACCGAAAUUCACGAGCCUGGCUCUUUUAAAGCAGCAUAUGUCGGCGAUGGAGGCCUUGCCCGCUUGGGCACAUGAUCGGAUGUCUGUGGUGUGCCCUUAGAAACAUAAAUGCCGCAAGGCACGUAGUUGAGCCAUUUCGGGUCCGGGCAGGUCCAGCGCCUUGAGAAGAAAGCCUCGCAUUCCUCGGGGCUUCUUUGCGAAGGAAGGUCUAGAAUGCAAUUCAUGGUUACGUUCAGGACUUUCUUCUCGAUUAACUUCCAGCAUUCUGGUCCGACUUGAGUGAAAUAAUUGAACUUGAGGUCCAGUACCUCCAGGUCGCCCAGGAUGCACAAGCUCUCUGGAACCGCCCCGUAGAAUUGGUUGUACGACAAGUUCAGCUGCUGAAUAUCUUUCAAGCACCCGAAUGAUUGUGGAAUGGGACCUGUCAAUUGGUUUAUGCUGACAUCCACAAUAUGUGUUUUAUUCAGAAACCCAAUCUCAUAAGGUAGGCAACCGGAGAGGCUGUUGUUUAAGAAAAGAACCUCGAGGAGAUUUCUGGAAGUUUGGCCAAUGCUCUUGGGGAUUGGGCCGGUUAAUUCGUUGUUUGCAAAGGUGAGAUAGAGUACAGGGGUUUGGCCAAGAUUGUGGGGGAUUUUUCCGGAGAAUGCGUUGUUGUUGAGGAAGAGCACGUCCAGGUCUAGUGUGAAGGCCUGAGGCGGGAUUGUCCCUGUUAACUGGUUGAACCUGACGUCCAGGUAUGUCAAGUUGGUUGCCCCUAGGGCUGCUGCGGGGAAAGCUCCUACGAGCUUGUUGUUGCUCAGGUCGAACUCGAAGAAGUUUGGAAGUUUGGAUAUUCCAAAGGGAAUGUCACCUGUGAAGUUGUUGGAGUUGACAUGGAAGAUUACCAGGUCCUUGAGAUCUUCAACGAAGUCUGUUGCAACGAGUGGACAGCCAGGUCCGCCGUUAAAGUUGAAGCCAUUGAAAUUGACGCCAACGACUCUAAACUUGUUAUCUUUGGUGCUUCUGUCGCACACGAAGCCUUUGUAUUUGGAUUUGUCGUAACAAAUGCGGUUGCCCG